rnacentral:rRNA from 1 species
UGUAAGCGUAUACCAAAGUUGUUGCAGUUAAAACGCUCGUAGUCGGACUUUGGCAGUUCCGGAUGUGUGCACGUCGCGUGCGCACUUCGCGGGGAUUGCUUUUGUGGUCUUGCGUAGGAUGAGGCACUUUUAUUAGUGAACGUCCUCACGCAACCACUUUUUACUGUGAGAAAAUCAGAGUGCUCAAAGCAGGCAUUUGCCGUGAAUGUAUUAGCAUGGAAUAAUAGAAUAGGACUUGGUUCUAUUUUGUUGGUUUGUUGGGACUGAGUAAUGAUUAAGAGGGACAGUUGGGGGCAUUUGUAUUUCGGUGCUAGAGGUGAAAUUCUUAGAUUACCGAAAGACAAACUGCUGCGAAAGCGUCUGCCAAGGAUGUUUUCAUUGA